rnacentral:rRNA from 1 species
CUAGCGGCGGACGGGUGAGUAACACGUAGGCAACCUGCCUCUCAGACUGGGAUAACAUAGGGAAACUUAUGCUAAUACCGGAUAGGUUUUUGGAUCGCAUGAUCUGAAAAGAAAAGAUGGCUUUUCGCUAUCACGGGGAGAUGGGCCGGCGGCGCAUUAGCUAGUUGGUGGGGUAACGGCCUACCAAGGCGACGAUGCGUAGCCGACCUGAGAGGGUGACCGGCCACACUGGGACUGAGACACGGCCCAAACUCCUACGGGAGGCAGCAGUAGGGAAUUUUCCACAAUGGACGAAAGUCUGAUGGAGCAACGCCGCGUGAACGAUGAAGGUCUUCGGAUUGUAAAGUUCUGUUGUCAGGGACAAACACGUACCGUUCGAACAGGGCGGUACCUUGACGGUACCUGACGAGAAAGCCACGGCUAACUACGUGCCAGCAGCCGCGGUAAUACGUAGGUGGCAAGCGUUGUCCGGAUUUAUUGGGCGUAAAGCGCGCGCAGGCGGCUAUGUAAGUCUGGUGUUAAAGCCCGGGGCUCAACCCCGGUUCGCAUCG